rnacentral:rRNA from 1 species
UACGUAGGGGGCAAGCGUUGUCCGGAUUUAUUGGGCGUAAAGAGCGUGUAGGCGGCCAGUCAGGUCCGUUGUGAAAACUCGAGGCUCAACCUCGAGACGCCGAUGGAAACCGACUGGCUAGAGUCCGGAAGAGGAGAGUGGAAUUCCCGGUGUAGCGGUGGAAUGCGUAGAGAUCCGGAAGAACACCGGUGGCGAAGGCGGUCUGCUGGGCAGUUGCUGGACACUGGAGGCGCGACAGCGUGGGGAG